AGUGAACGCUGGCGGUAGGCCUAACACAUGCGAGUCGAACGGCAGCACAGUAAGAGCUUGCUCUUACGGGUGGCGAGUGGCGGACGGGUGAGGAAUACAUCGGAAUCUACUUUUUCGUGGGGGAUAACGUAGGGAAACUUACGCUAAUACCGCAUACGACCUACGGGUGAAAGCAGGGGAUCUUCGGACCUUGCGCGAUUGAAUGAGCCGAUGUCGGAUUAGCUAGUUGGCGGGGUAAAGGCCCACCAAGGCGACGAUCCGUAGCUGGUCUGAGAGGAUGAUCAGCUACACUGGAACUGAGACACGGUCCAGACUCCUACGGGAGGCAGCAGUGGGGAAUAUUGGACAAUGGGCGCAAGCCUGAUCCAGCCAUACCGCGUGGGUGAAGAAGGCCUUCGGGUUGUAAAGCCCUUUUGUUGGGAAAGAAAAGCAGCAGGUUAAUACCCCGCUGUUCUGACGGUACCCAAAGAAUAAGCACCGGCUAACUUCGUG
rnacentral:rRNA from 1 species